AUACCGGUGGCGAAGGCGGCCCCCUGGACAAAGACUGACGCUCAGGUGCGAAAGCGUGGGGAGCAAACAGGAUUAGAUACCCUGGUAGUCCACGCUGUAAACGAUGUCGAUUUGAAGGUUGUUCCCUAGAGGAGUGGCUUUCGGAGCUAACGCGUUAAAUCGACCGCCUGGGGAGUACGGCCGCAAGGUUAAAACUCAAAUGAAUUGACGGGGGCCCGCACAAGCGGUGGAGCAUGUGGUUUAAUUCGAUGCAAC
rnacentral:rRNA from 1 species